CUCCAAGUUCAUAUCGAAACUGCUCCAUCUUCUUCUUCAGUCCACCACCAUCACCAUCCACAAAUUUUGGUAUUGAUUAUUAUCUCGAACCUGUGAGUGACGCAUAGAUUUAAAACAAGAAAAUAGAGACAAAUCUGUUUCUGAAGAUGAUUGAUUUCAAGAGUUUGAUGGAUUUCUGAAGUUGAAUGAAGAACAGAAAGGGGACUUGGUGCGGAUUCAAAUUGUUUGAGUGAUGCUGAUGUCGAAUUGAAGAAAGAGGAAAGAGGGAAUUGCUGAUUGUUAAAAGAAAUUAGGGUUUGAGUUGUGAUGAUUCUGUAAUCGAGACAGAGAUGGAGAUCGAGAACAUGAGUUGAAGUUCUGAGAUGAAAGAAUAAUUGGGUCUGUGAAACUGAAUUUGGUGGUGAUCUAGGUCAGAUGAAGAUUGAGAUGUUACAGGGAAGAUGGAGACUGGAAGGAAGAGAAGAUGAACUGUUGGUCUUGGUAACUGGUUAUGCAGUUGAGAGUUAAUAGGUGGAAUUGGCACUGGUGGUAUAGAAACAGAACUGAAAUGGUUAAUUAAGUGUGAAAUGGCAAUGAGAUUCUAGCUGCUGGUGAUGACUGAGCAGAUACAGGAAAGUAUGGUUAUUUGCAGUCGAAUUGAAGCUGAGAAUAAAUGGUUAUGAAGCUACAGAGUAAUUGACUGAGCAGGUGUUGGUCCAUAUGGAUUCUCAGAAUUACAAGGAAUUUGGCCUUGUUCUGAAAAUUCAGUAAGUGGGCAUCUGUGAGAUGAACUGUAUCUUGUGCAUUCUCCGGUGCUCACUGGAAGGAACUUUGAAGGAAUUCUCAUGCUUUUGUUUUGGCAUUAUUAUGGAAUACAAUAUUAAUGCCAAAAUGUAGUUUCUUUUGUAAAACCGAAUGCAAUAUUUACUGGCUUUAUUUUGUUCUUGAAUUUUCAGUACACCAGUAACCUAUCAAGGUUUCAGGAUAAUUGUUACAUCUGUAUCAUGUUCAUAAUGCUCUUAUGAGCUAUUGAACCAUCUACUUAGUUGUAUUUAUUUCGCCUGAGCAGAGCAUUUCAAGAAUGGAUACAUCUCCGAGUUCCGUUGUCAUCGAUCCCAGACUGUUCACAGGAAUAUCUGCUAUUACAGCAACGACUUAUGACAAUGAUGAUGAGUUCUCCAAAUGGCAGGAGGAGGUUAGGAAAGCGGAACUCGAAGCUGAGGCUUUGAAGCAUGGCUCAAAAUUAAAUGAUGUUGGUGGGUCAGAUCACUUGAAAGACUUGGAGGGGGGUGUUGACGAAAGGCCUUCCACACCACCUGAUGGCGAGGAAGAAUUCACUGAUGAUGAUGGAAACUGUGUACAAGUGGGACAGAGGUCUUAGACUUAGAGCAUGGGUUCCCCAAAGAACUGUCGAAGAAAGCACAAAAAGCAAAUAAUAUGUGGUGGCGUCUGAGUGGAGUUCUAGGUGAUCAGAAUCGUAUGCUCAUGUAUAUCCUAUUCCAAGCUGCAUUCACAGUUGCCACAAUGCCUUUAACUGUGCCAAUAUUUUUGUCUUACAAAUUGCAUGUGAUUUUCCAAAUACUCAAAGUCUCAGCAUCUAUAUGGAAUGGAGGAAGCUUUUUAUUAGAGGUGAUGCCCAGGCAAGUCAUAAUCAAGGAGAAGAAGAAACUCGAAAUGCUGCCAUUACCAGUCCAACCUGAUCAGCCUGCUACUGUCUCAACCUAAAUUCCCACAGAAACUAACGGCUUCACAGAGUCCGACAACCAGUCAGAAUAGCCUUGUAUAAAAGAAAAUGACUUGUAAAAUUUCGUUUUCGCUACUGCUAGAAAAGUUUAGUUAGUACACCUAUGACUGAUAUCUUGGGAUUUAGGAUUUUGAGGUGUGGAAAGUUUAGUUUUGAACUCGAGCAGUAGAAAUCAAAUAACAGCAUAUCAAAUCUCCUUUACAA